ensembl:lncRNA
UUCCAAUAUUUUUUUUAUGCAGGAGUAGGAAGGCAAUUAUUACGAUUCGUCUCGAGUUUAUCACACUGGGCCCAAGACCAAGUGAGAAUAGUGUUCUAGAGGUGGUUAAAUCUAUGCUGGCCGCAAAUCUCACAACUAAACUAACUGCCAGAACAGUAAGCGUGAGUGAUCCUGUGAUCUUGACAAAUGUCAACUAUUUAGGAAUUAAUGACACUGCCUACGCGCUCAUCUUUACAUUUGAAAUCAGCAAAGUACUACUGACAGAGUUAAAAAGGAAUGAAACCUAUCAAGAAAUCCAAAAUAAGAUAAAUGACUUGGUGAUCCAGAUCCUAAAGGACCCCUCAGUUAAUCUGCUCAUUCCAGCCCAUUUCAAGGAAAAUUCCACUGUGAUAGAGGCCAAUGUUACGUAUGUUUUCUCACAAUAUGCCAGCAACACGGGUGCCGGUUUCUUGGUCAAUACCCUUUUCACGGUUUUUACCACACCAGUUCCAACCACCAUGAGCACUACAAUCUCAAACAACAGUACAAACGCAGCAUGGGUUGUGGCUAUCAUUGUCCCCUGUGCUAUUAUCAUCGGGCUCGUACCUUGCUGGAUUCUCCUUUGUGUAAGUAUUAUGAUGACUGAAUGUCAAAUAUGUGCGUUGGUAGUGAAGCGAUUAAUGACAACAACAGCCAUGUGUUAUUCUUGUGGUAAAAAGAGACGUAGAGCUUCCUUUUAAAUGUGGUAUAUAAUUGUGUAUGUACAGCUGUAUAAAAUUCCCUUCUGUGAGGCUAACUCUCACUUUGUCUGUUUAUGUGUUCAGUGUUUGCUGUGUGGUUGCUGUGCAGCAAUCAGGAGACGAUGGCACAGA